AAGAUUUUAAGUUAAUUUAAACUGAAGAUUUUCAAAGUCUUUAAUAAAUAGUGUUAUUUAAAUCUUG
rnacentral:tRNA from 1 species